rnacentral:tRNA from 1 species
CAGGGAGACAAAAAAUGAUUAUUGAAGUCUGAUCUUUUUUCAGGCCAUAAUCCUGUCACCUUAGGUCGAUCGGUACCUCAGAUCAAAAUCUGCUAAAGGUUUUAAUUUCAGUUCCUAAACUUGUCUAGGUCACACCCAACAAACUUUCUCCUGGGCUAUUAGCUCAGGCGGUUAGAGCGCACCCCUGAUAAGGGUGAGGUCCCUGGUUCAAGUCCAGGAUGGCCCAUUCGUUGUUGGGGGUAUAGCUCAGUUGGUAGAGCGCCUGCUUUGCAAGCAGGAUGUCAGCGGUUCGAGUCCGCUUACCUCCACUGAUCAACUACCUGACAACUCUUUUGGAGAUUGUCCUUUGUUUAAGGUGACUUAGAUAUUGUUCAGCUGAAAAGAACCUAGCUUCCUAUCAUUCCUUAAAAACUUUGAGGUUGAUAAGACGCUGGGCUCACUGAUUAUUAAAAACAAUCAGUUUGAUUCAGUAGAACCUUGACAACUGCAUAGGAAAGUCUGAAAAAAAGCAUCUCAUAGAUGCAUAGAAGUUUUUCGUUUUUUAAUGAUUAGACUUUUAUGUUCAAUUCUUGAGUUAGAGCAAAUUUUCUAUUACUUAAUUCACUUAAGGUUAAGUGAUGACUAAUUAAUUUUAGAUAAGUUUAUAGAUUAAU